GGGGGCGUUUUGGCUUCGACGGGGGUAAGAGGAGUUUGAUAAGCGAGUCGAGGCAGCAUGUCACCUCGUUAAUCAAGUAUGCAAAAAGAUAAACGCAGAAGACAAUUUUGCAAUAGCAGCCUAAUUUAGCGCUGUUCAUCAGCCCGGGGUGCCCACGCUUCGGAUCACUGGUGUCAUUAAAGUGGGAAACGAAGUUUAGCAAAGCUUUGAGCUAGAGGGGUAUUUAUGAAGCUAGCAAGUAUGUUGCCUGUCUGUAGGCGUUCAUAUGAGCGAAUUUUAAUAUAUAGACUACACUCGUAGAAAGUCAGAUGCAUCUACUCUCGGACAGGGGUUCGAUACCCCUCGCCUCCACCA
rnacentral:tmRNA from 1 species